AUGAACGCUGGCGGCGUGCUUAACACAUGCAAGUCGAACGGAAAGGCUCCUGCUUGCAGGGGUACUCGAGUGGCGAACGGGUGAGUAACACGUGGGUGAUCUGCCCUGCACUUCGGGAUAAGCCUGGGAAACUGGGUCUAAUACCGGAUAGGACCACAUUUUGGAUGGUAUGGUGGAAAGUUUUUCGGUGUGGGAUGAGCUCGCGGCCUAUCAGCUUGUUGGUGGGGUAAUGGCCUACCAAGGCGUCGACGGGUAGCCGGCCUGAGAGGGUGUACGGCCACAUUGGGACUGAGAUACGGCCCAGACUCCUACGGGAGGCAGCAGUGGGGAAUAUUGCACAAUGGGCGCAAGCCUGAGGCAGCGACGCCGCGUGGGGGAUGACGGCCUUCGGGUUGUAAACUCCUUUCGCUAGGGACGAAGCGUUUUUGUGACGGUACCUGGAGAAGAAGCACCGGCUAACUACGUG
rnacentral:rRNA from 1 species